rnacentral:tRNA from 1 species
GCGAAGGUGGCGGAAUUGGUAGACGCGCUAGCUUCAGGUGUUAGUGCCUUAACGGGCGUGAGGGUUCAAGUCCCUCUCUUCGCACCACUC